GGGUUGUGAGGUUAAGCGACCAAGCGUACACGGUGGAUGCCCUGGCAGUCAGAGGCGAUGAAGGACGUGCUAAUCUGCGAAAAGCGCCGGUAAGGUGAUAUGAACCGUUAUAACCGGCGAUGUCCGAAUGGGGAAACCCAGUGUGACUCGUCACACUAUCAUUAACUGAAUCCAUAGGUUAAUGAGGCGAACCGGGGGAACUGAAACAUCUAAGUACCCCGAGGAAAAGAAAUCAACCGAGAUUCCCCCAGUAGCGGCGAGCGAACGGGGAGCAGCCCAGAGCCUGAAUCAGCAUGUGUGUUAGUGGAAGCGUCUGGAAAGGCGCGCGAUACAGGGUGAGAGCCCCGUACACAAAAGCGCAUAUGCUGUGAGCUCGAUGAGUAGGGCGGGACACGUGGUAUCCUGUCUGAAUAUGGGGGGACCAUCCUCCAAGGCUAAAUACUCCUGACUGACCGAUAGUGAACCAGUACCGUGAGGGAAAGGCGAAAAGAACCCCGGCGAGGGGAGUGAAACAGAACCUGAAACCGUGUACGUACAAGCAGUGGGAGCCUCUCUUUAUGGGGGGUGACUGCGUACCUUUUGUAUAAUGGGUCAGCGACUUAUAUUCUGUAGCAAGGUUAACCGCAUAGGGGAGCCGAAGGGAAACCGAGUCUUAAUUGGGCGUUAAGUUGCAGGGUAUAGACCCGAAACCCGGUGAUCUAGCCAUGGGCAGGUUGAAGGUUGGGUAACACUAACUGGAGGACCGAACCGACUAAUGUUGAAAAAUUAGCGGAUGACCUGUGGCUGGGGGUGAAAGGCCAAUCAAACCGGGAGAUAGCUGGUUCUCCCCGAAAGCUAUUUAGGUAGCGCCUCGUGAAUUCAUCUCCGGGGGUAGAGCACUGUUUCGGCUAGGGGGCCAUCCCGGCUUACCAACCCGAUGCAAACUGCGAAUACCGGAGAAUGUUAUCACGGGAGACACACGGCGGGUGCUAACGUCCGUCGUGAAGAGGGAAACAACCCAGACCGCCAGCUAAGGUCCCAAAGUCAUGGUUAAGUGGGAAACGAUGUGGGAAGGCCCAGACAGCCAGGAUGUUGGCUUAGAAGCAGCCAUCAUUUAAAGAAAGCGUAAUAGCUCACUGGUCGAGUCGGCCUGCGCGGAAGAUGUAACGGGGCUAAACCAUGCACCGAAGCUGCGGCAGCGACACUUUAGUGUUGUUGGGUAGGGGAGCGUUCUGUAAGCCGUUGAAGGUGUCCUGUGAGGGGUGCUGGAGGUAUCAGAAGUGCGAAUGCUGACAUAAGUAACGAUAAAGCGGGUGAAAAGCCCGCUCGCCGGAAGACCAAGGGUUCCUGUCCAACGUUAAUCGGGGCAGGGUGAGUCGACCCCUAAGGCGAGGCCGAAAGGCGUAGUCGAUGGGAAACGGGUUAAUAUUCCCGUACUUGGUGUUACUGCGAAGGGGGGACGGAGAAGGCUAUGUUGGCCGGGCGACGGUAGUCCCGGUUUAAGCGUGUAGGCUGGUUUUCCAGGCAAAUCCGGAAAAUCAAGGCUGAGGCGUGAUGACGAGGCACCACGGUGCUGAAGCAACAAAUGCCCUGCUUCCAGGAAAAGCCUCUAAGCAUCAGGUAACAUCAAAUCGUACCCCAAACCGACACAGGUGGUCAGGUAGAGAAUACCAAGGCGCUUGAGAGAACUCGGGUGAAGGAACUAGGCAAAAUGGUGCCGUAACUUCGGGAGAAGGCACGCUGACACGUAGGUGAAGUGAUUUACUCAUGGAGCUGAAGUCAGUCGAAGAUACCAGCUGGCUGCAACUGUUUAUUAAAAACACAGCACUGUGCAAACACGAAAGUGGACGUAUACGGUGUGACGCCUGCCCGGUGCCGGAAGGUUAAUUGAUGGGGUCAGCGCAAGCGAAGCUCCUGAUCGAAGCCCCGGUAAACGGCGGCCGUAACUAUAACGGUCCUAAGGUAGCGAAAUUCCUUGUCGGGUAAGUUCCGACCUGCACGAAUGGCGUAAUGAUGGCCAGGCUGUCUCCACCCGAGACUCAGUGAAAUUGAACUCGCUGUGAAGAUGCAGUGUACCCGCGGCAAGACGGAAAGACCCCGUGAACCUUUACUAUAGCUUGACACUGAACAUUGAGCCUUGAUGUGUAGGAUAGGUGGGAGGCUUUGAAGCGUGGACGCCAGUCUGCGUGGAGCCGACCUUGAAAUACCACCCUUUAAUGUUUGAUGUUCUAACGUGGACCCGUAAUCCGGGUUGCGGACAGUGUCUGGUGGGUAGUUUGACUGGGGCGGUCUCCUCCUAAAGAGUAACGGAGGAGCACGAAGGUUGGCUAAUCCUGGUCGGACAUCAGGAGGUUAGUGCAAUGGCAUAAGCCAGCUUGACUGCGAGCGUGACGGCGCGAGCAGGUGCGAAAGCAGGUCAUAGUGAUCCGGUGGUUCUGAAUGGAAGGGCCAUCGCUCAACGGAUAAAAGGUACUCCGGGGAUAACAGGCUGAUACCGCCCAAGAGUUCAUAUCGACGGCGGUGUUUGGCACCUCGAUGUCGGCUCAUCACAUCCUGGGGCUGAAGUAGGUCCCAAGGGUAUGGCUGUUCGCCAUUUAAAGUGGUACGCGAGCUGGGUUUAGAACGUCGUGAGACAGUUCGGUCCCUAUCUGCCGUGGGCGCUGGAAGACUGAGGGGGGCUGCUCCUAGUACGAGAGGACCGGAGUGGACGCAUCACUGGUGUUCGGGUUGUCAUGCCAAUGGCACUGCCCGGUAGCUAAAUGCGGAAAAGAUAAGUGCUGAAAGCAUCUAAGCACGAAACUUGCCCCGAGAUGAGUCUUCCCUGAGACUUUGAGUCUCCUGAAGGAACGUUAAAGACGAUGACGUUGAUAGGCCGGGUGUGUAAGCGCAGCGAUGCGUUGAGCUAACCGGUACUAAUGAACCGUGAGGCUUAACCUUACAACGCCGAAGCUGUU
rnacentral:rRNA from 1 species